UACGUAGGGUGCGAGCGUUGUCCGGAAUUAUUGGGCGUAAAGGGCUCGUAGGCGGUUUGUCGCGUCGGGAGUGAAAACUCAGGGCUUAACCCUGAGCCUGCUUCCGAUACGGGCAGACUAGGGGUAUGCAGGGGAGAACGGAAUUCCUGGUGUAGCGGUGAAAUGCGCAGAUAUCAGGAGGAACACCGGUGGCGAAGGCGGUUCUCUGGGCAUUCCCUGACGCUGAGGCGCGAAAGCGUGGGGAGCAAACGGG
rnacentral:rRNA from 1 species